AUGGUUCCCAGACCCUGGUCCCCUGGACGGCUCAGCACCAGCACCACCCGGGCUGUGUCCACUCACCAAAACCCUCAGAUGUCCAGCCCAGCCCCUCAGAGUCCGUCUUCCGACUGUUCCCCCGAGAUGGUCUCCUGUCCUGCCCACCACCCUCACGUGUCCCACCUGGCCUUCCAGGUGGGCCGAGUUCCCGCGGGAGAGUGUGGCCAGACAUCCCCCUCCAGGGGAUGCUGUCCACAUGUCCUGGGAUCCCAGCCUGGGCCUCCCGCAGGGAAUGGCGUGGGUCCUGGGUGUCACCGUGCCUGCAGGCCUUUCCCGCGGGUCCUGCGCAGCGGACAGCAGCCACACAGCACCCAUGACAAGUGCUAUGCUGGGUGGGGGGCCAGGCACUGGGCACGUGGCUGCUUCCCACCAGCCCGCCCUUGGGAGGCCGCGUGGCUCCUGCCUGAGGCCAGGCCAGGCACUGUCCAUGGAGUCCGCCCCUCGCUGCAGCCUGUGUCCUGCCGACCACCUGCUCCUGCCUCUGUCAGAUGCAUCCCUGCUUUCCUCCCCCCGCCCCCGGGCGGCAUGCACAGCCAAGGGGGCGACGGGCGUUGUCCUCAGACAAGGUCCCAUGUGGGCUCUGACCCUAGGGCAGGGGGUGGGGGCAGGAGGAGGGGGCCGGCCAGUCCGCAGUCCGCACGCAGGAGUCGCGGUGAAGCUGGGGCUGGCUCUGAGGGGCUGUGCUCUGACACUGUCAUGCUGAGAAGCAGCCAGAGGCUCCUGAUGCCUGGUCUGCGCCAGGCUCCAGGGACUCUCUACAUCCUCUGCCGGCCCAGCACGUCCAGUGGACGGAAUUGCUGGGGAAGGGAAGGAGGUGAAGGUUGGCUAGAUCUGGUCCCCCUGCAAGGCAGCAAGCUCUCCGAGCUGUUCAGAGUGAGGCCUGGAGGGAGCAGCUCGUGCUGUGCGGAGGCCCGGCCGCAGGGGUGGAGGCCCCAGGCCCGAUGCCUGCUUCGGUCUGUCACUCACGGGCUCGGCCCUUCGCCCUUUGUGGAGAGGAGCACCCCUCCCCGUUAG
rnacentral:lncRNA from 1 species